GGGUCUGUAGCUCAGUUGGUAGAGCACACCCCUGAUAAGGGUGAGGUUCGGAAGUUCAAGUCUUCCCAGACCCA
rnacentral:tRNA from 1 species